rnacentral:rRNA from 1 species
GACGAACGCUGGCGGCGUGCUUAACACAUGCAAGUCGAACGGAAAGGCCCUGCUUUUGUGGGGUGCUCGAGUGGCGAACGGGUGAGUAACACGUGAGUAACCUGCCCUUGACUUUGGGAUAACUUCAGGAAACUGGGGCUAAUGCCGGAUAGGAGCUCCUGCUGCAUGGUGGGGGUUGGAAAGUUUCGGCGGUUGGGGAUGGACUCGCGGCUUAUCAGCUUGUUGGUGGGGUAGUGGCUUACCAAGGCUUUGACGGGUAGCCGGCCUGAGAGGGUGACCGGCCACAUUGGGACUGAGAUACGGCCCAGACUCCUACGGGAGGCAGCAGUGGGUAAUAUUGCACAAUGGGCGGAAGCCUGAUGCAGCAACGCCGCGUGCGGGAUGACGGCCUUCGGGUUGUAAACCGCUUUCGCCUGUGACGAAGCGUGAGUGACGGUAAUGGGUAAAGAAGCACCGGCUAACUACGUA